rnacentral:lncRNA from 1 species
UUUAGAAUAAAUUAUUGGCCAACCGAAAUUUGCAGUUUGAUUAGCUUCCUAUUCAGAUUGGCCAACCGAAAGUUGGAGAAUAGCUUACUUCGAUCCGGUGUGGAUUUUAGCUUCAUUCACAAGUUACUUCUGUGUGAAGUAGACUGCGACAUCACAAUGCAUCUUUUACAUUCAUUACUGUAAGCUUAGGUAUGUUUGGUUCCACAUAAAAUUGUGGAAAAGAAAUUUUUGGUGGAAAAAAAAUUUACGUCGUUUAGUGUUUGAUUUGUAGUAAAAAAAAAUAGUUUUCCAUGCCUGUUGUUUGGUUGAAAGAAAAAAAAUUAAUGAAAAGUUAUUUAAUAUAUAAUAAAAUAUAUUAUUAAUAUAUAAUAUUAUUAUACUAUAUAUAUUAUAAUUAUAAUUUUUAUUUAUAGAUUAAAUAUAUUUAAAAUUACAAUAAACAUAUUAUAUAGUAUAUAAGAGUUAUAUAUUUAGAUAUUAAUAAAUAUAUUAUAUAUUUUCGAUUAUUUGUUGAAAGAACAAAAAAAAAACAAAUAGAAAAUGAUUAUAUAUUUUUUUAUUAUUAUAUAUAUUAAAUAUAUAUUAUUAAUAUACAAUAAUUAUUAUACUAUAUGUAUUAUUAUUAUAAUAGACUUUUUAUAAAUAAAUAGAUAUAAAAUAUAUUAUACAAAUAUAUUAUACAAUUAAGUAUAUAAUAUAAUACAUAUUAGUAGCAAAAUCACAUUGUUGCUACCACUCAACCCUAGGGGGACCACUUAACUCUAACCGACUAAUAUCAUCCUGACCUACAAUUUUUCAUCCAAGAGUUAAAAAUUUGAUAGCAAGAAGAGCGUUUUACUAUUAAUAGUAUUCCAGCCUAAUUCUAUAUAUAUAUAUAUAUAGUCCGGCUACUAUGCUAUUAAUAGCACGAAGCACUUUGUGCUACCAAGUUUUUCGCCGUUAGAUCUACACUUUUGAUUAUUUUGACCCGUUAGAUCAUACUAUUCAACUAACCACCCACUCAACCCUAGGGUGCCUACACCAUCCUAACCGCACAUCUCUUAAUUCAAUGGCCAAAAACUUAGUAGCACCAAUGACUUGGUGCUAUUAAUAGCAUAGUCGCCUACUUCAUAUAUAUAUAUAUAUAUAUAGAGAGAGAGAGAGAGAGAGAGAGAGAGAGAGAGAGAGAGAGAGAGAGAGAGAGNGUUAGAUCUACACUUUUGAUCAUUUUGACCCGUUAGAUCAUACUAUUCAACCAACCAUCCACUCAACCCUAAAGUGCCUACACCAUCCUAACCGCACAUCUCUUAAUUCAAUGGCCAAAAACUUGGUAGCACCAAUGACUUGGUGCUAUUAAUAGCAUAGUAGCCUACUUCAUAUAUAUAUAUAUAUAGAGAGAGAGAGAGAGAGAGAGAGAGAGUUGGUCUGGGCUACUAUUAGUAGGAAAAUCACAUUGUUGCUAUCAGUUUUUUAGCCUUUGGAUCAACUCUUUUCAUUAUUUCUAACCAUUGGAUUAAAUACUAACCCAGUGAGGACCACUCAACCUUAGGGGGACCACUCAACUCUAACCGACUAAUAUCAUCCUGACCCUACAAUUUUUCAUCCAAGAGUUAAAAAUUUGAUAGCAAAAAGAGCAUUUUACUAUUAAUAGCAUUCCAGCCUAAUUCUAUAUAUAUAUAUAUAUAUAUAGUCCGGCUACUAUGCUAUUAAUAGCACGAAACACUUUGUGCUACCAAGUUCUCCGCCGUUAGAUCUACACUUUUGAUCAUUUUGACCCGUUAGAUCAUACUAUUCAACCAACCAUCCACUCAACCCUAAAGUGCCUACACCAUCCUAACCGCACAUCUCUUAAUUCAAUGGCCAAAAACUUGGUAGCACCAAUGACUUGGUGCUAUUAAUAGCAUAGUAGCCUACUUCAUAUAUAUAUAUAUAGAGAGAGAGAGAGAGAGAGAGAGAGAGAGAGAGAGAAAGAGAGUGAGUUGAGCUAGAAUACUAUCGAUAGCAUAGCGGCACUUUUGCCAUCAAUUUGUUUUCGAUGAUAGAGCCUCCAAAUUGGUGAUCGGUACAGUUGAAUAUGAGCUAUAUCAUUUGAAGUAUUUUUAAAUUUUAAAUAAAGAUAUAUCUAUUUUGGCAUGCUGAGUGCAUGAUAUUGGAAUAUUUAUUAUUAGCAUGAUUAAGUUUGA